rnacentral:lncRNA from 1 species
CUGUGGGGAGGUGGGGAGGGACGGAGGGCUACUGACCACAGUCUGGCUCUGGAUGCUAGAACCUGCGGUCCUAGGGUGUGCGAGGCACCCGUUGGGGGCGCUCGCUGUGUGGCUCUGAGCUGGUUUGCACACCUCUCUGAGUCUCAAUGGCCACUAGCAAAAUGGUAGCGCUUGGUGCGGGGCUGUAAGCCAGCGCUAGGACUCUGGCUUCCUCACUAGGCUGCCGGAUAACUUUGGUAGACUAGUCAUAAUAAUAGUACAACCUCCUGGGUUAUUAGGAAGAUUAAACGAGUUAGUAUUUGGAUGGUGUUUACAACCGCGUGUGUUAUGUGUAAAGUGGCAUUAAGUUCAUUAGAGAGACCACGGGAGGUCUGGCUCCGAAGCUGAAUUCUCUCUCCUUGCUCCCUGUUCCUGUGCCCAAGGCCAAGCUCCUCUUUUGCUCCUAGACACCAUGCCCACCACUUCUCUAAGCUGUAAAACCACCACCUCCCUCCAUUUCUGACUUUAUGGUGACACCUAAGUGUGAAGACCAGAGAGGCUGGGUGUCUAAAUGGUUAAGGACAUAGAACACCUUGGCAUUGAACCAGCUCACCUAUAAACCGCCUCUAGCUGGUCCUGGGCAAGCUCCCAGCCAAUGAGCAGCGGGUUUCUCCUGGAUAAAAUGAGAUUUGUUAUCAAACCCUGGGCUAUGAGAAUUCAGGUGAGCUCCUGGAGUGGUGAGUAGGACAGUCAAUAGCCUCUGUGGUCCCUCCAGUCCAUGUCCCAUCUAGGUUCACCUGAAGGAGGGAUCUGGGAGAAAUGACUUUCUGUUAGAGACAGGAAGCUGAGCUGUGUGCCAGGUGCUGGCCUAGGAGGGCACCCUAAUUGAGCAUGGAUCCCUGAAAAGUAAAGCAUGUGGAACUGGCCGAUGGAAUUUUCCAGGAUCCUGGGGCUCGAUGUGACUUCUGUGGUCCUUAGAUGUUUGGCGGAGAUUACGAGGGCAGCAACAUCCUGACUGUCAGAAGAUCAC